GAGACCGAUAGCGAACAAGUACCGUGAGGGAAAGUUGAAAAGCCCUUUGGAGAGAGAGUUAAAAAGUACGUGAAACCGUCGAGAGGCAAACGGGAGGGCCUGUCGGGUCGUUCGGUCGCUUUCAGGCGGGCCGGAGACCGGGUCGCGGGAUCGGGGACCUUCGCGGGCCUCGACUCGCGUCGCCGGCCGACGGCUCGGCGCACUAGCGUCGGACGAGGGCCGCGACCGGCUGGGCGGCGGGCAAACGGCUCCGGGCAAGGUAACCCCGCUUCGGCGGGGUGCUACAGGCCCGGUGCGCGGAAGGGUCGCCGCCCGGUCGAGGAGAGAUGCGCGCCGCACCUGCCCCGUUCGCGGGGCCGGGGAAGCCGUUCGAGCAGCGUCGUGUCGCGGUCCGGGACUGUCCUCAGUCCCGGGUCGUCUCGGCGCGGUUCCGAGCGGUCGCUCCCUCGCGAGGUGCCGCGGGUCAGCGGCUGACGCCAGCCACCUUCCCGACCCGUCUUGAAACACGGACCAAGGAGUCUAACAUGUGCGCGAGCCGCGGGGCAGUACGAAACCCGUAAGGCGAAAUGAAGGUGAACGCCGGCGCGGUCCGGCGGAGGUUGGAUCCCGUCCCGUCGGGGCGGGCGCACUACCGGCCGAUCUUCUCCGCCCUGUCGGCGAGGUCGAGCGAGAGCGUGCAAGUCGGGACCCGAAAGAUGGUGAACUAUG
rnacentral:ncRNA from 1 species